rnacentral:lncRNA from 1 species
CUGGGAUUACAGGCGUGAGCCACCGCGCCUGGCCUCCCCUGUGUUUUUAAAGUUGGCCUGGAGAUUGGUGAUGACCAUUGGAGAUUGCAUUACUUUUCCAACUGUGGCUUUCCACUAAAAUUACAAAGGGAAAUGUAGAAAGGAAAACGUGUGAGUGCGGGAACCAACAACAAAGAUGAUUUACAUGAAGGAGGCUCUUAGAAAGAAAGCAUCACACGAGUGCAUGAUGUUUAAGCUCUCAGCUAGCCCUUAGAGUGUAACUGCCUCUCCAUCCUCCGCCCCGCAUUCAGGGGUCCUCCCCAGGGGUCUCAUAGCUCUGCCUCUCCUCCGUUACCAGGAGGUGCCCUGCUCAUGCAUCCUGCCCUCAGCAGACAGAAGAUCUCUCUCGACUUCUCCAACUCUUCUUGUGCCAUCCACACAAUCUUGCCUUCAACUAUUAUUUUAUUUUAUUUUUUAGGAGGUAGGGUCUUGCUCUGUUGCCCAGGCCAGAGUGCAGUGGUGUGAACAGGGCUCACUGCAGCCUCAAUCUCCUGAAGUUCAAGCCAUCCUCCCACCUCAGCCUCCAUAGUAGCUGGGACUACAGGUGCGUGCCACCACACCUGGCUAAUUUUUAUAUUUUUUGUAGACACGGGGUUUUGCUGUGUUGCGCAGGCUGGUCUUAAACUCCUGGGCUCAAGCGAUGCCCACCUCAGCCUCCCAAACUCCUGGGAUUACAGGCAUGAGCCACCGUGCCCGGCCUUGCCUUGAUUGAAAACAAUGGAGUUGUAGAAGCCUUUACGUAGCCCACAGCAGGCCACAGGUAUUUGCUAUCACUGUCAUUCAUCCUUAGGGCACAAGAUUUUGCUCAACAACUGUAUGCUUCCUUUAAACUUUAUUCUGCUGAUGCAUACUAGUA